rnacentral:lncRNA from 1 species
UAAAAAUAUGAUAUGUUAUUUAAUAUUUAUCUACUUGUAUUAGAUAUGGUGUACGUAUUCCAAAUAUACUAAAAUAUCUUUUCCCUCAAUGAGGUGCUUAUUAAACAUCCUAUAAUUCAGCUUAGCUUUUCAUAAAACAUUUUGCUUCCCAUUUCGAAUAAAAACUCAGGUGGUGAGAUGGUAAUGCUAGGAAGACCAACCAUUUAUUUCAAUUUUUGUAAACCAUAUGAGUGGUUGUUGCUGAUUGGUUAUUCCUCAAGUGAUAAUUAACGUGCUUAUUUCUUAUUAGUGAGUCAGCAACACAUCAUAUAGUUUAUGAAGUUGGUCUAAAUAGUUUAUCUACCUAGCAUAACUCAGGUCAAAUUAUACUACUUUUUAACUUGUGUUUAUAGAAGAAAAUGCAAGCUAUCAGUGUCAACGGGCUACAACUCAUCACAAAUAUGACUUUAUGCAAGUUAAGCUUAGUUCUCAAACUUAUAAAACAUACGUUUAGGCAAUAAAUUACAUAUGAUCAAACGCUUUAAAAAUUAUCAAUGUAUUGUACAUGGUAACAAAACUAUGUGAUCACUGACUCUAAGAAGAACUUCGUACUAAUUAAGUAAUUACCCAAAGUAGUGAUGACUAUGAAGAUACUAGUUACUCUGGACAAUUUAUUUUGACAUUCUAGCCAAGAUUCUACAAGGGCUCUAGGCAUUAGGGGGGUGGGACAAGGGCUUAAUGCUUAGACCAGCUAAGUGGAUGUCUAGGCAUAUCUAGUUGUCCUUUAUUAUUUUUUAAAUAAAAAGGAUUAAUCGCAAUAGUAGUUAAGCAUUUUAGAACACGGAUAUUUAAUUUAAUUAAUGGGAACCAACAACAAAUAUUUAAUUCUUUAGCCAAACAAGGAGUGCUAUUUACCUGUUCUUUGAGCACAGUAAUCACAAGGACCAAAAAAUUGUUUAAUUUGUUACUUUUGCAGUUGUGAGUUGUGGAUGCAGAUCACAUUCUUUACCCGACCCGAACAACAUAAAAAGUCCGUUGACCCCACCAAUUAAUUCAGGGUUACAGAAAUGGUAAUCUGGUUUGCAUGGUAGGUUAAC